GAAAUCGUCAAUCAUUUUACAGGAGUCUUUGGACGAAAAUAGCACUCAUGAAAUUGUCGCCUCUAAAGCAUCCCUAAAAUUGGAAACUGUUGUCGGUGAUCGUUAAAUUUUGCGACAAGAGUUGACGCAAUUGCUUAAGGUAAGUUGAACUUUUAGAUAAUUUUCAAUAAAAUUUUCACAAAAACAACAUUUGCUACAUAUGAAUCCAACACGAAAAAAGUCUUGCGAAAGAAAAUAGCGACAAAUCCAAAUUUUUCUUCAGAAUACACCUUCAAGCCGUCAAAAAUGGAAAUUCUUGGCGGCGAUCGUAAAAUGGAGCAAUGAAUUGCAACAAGAAUUGAUACCAACGCAAUUGCUUGAGAUUUUCAAAAUCGUUUGGAAAGAGGAAAGUGUCGAUUUGUGGGUGCGUCCUUACCGAAUCGUUUGUUUUUCUGGCGAUGCCGGACUCAUCGAGCCGUACAUAUACAGAAGCAGAGUGGUUCAUAAUUUAAAAAAAAAUCUACUACUUUUAAAGCUCAAAAAUCUACGAUCGAAAAAUGAGAA